rnacentral:misc_RNA from 1 species
UGAAUUGUCAUUCUAGAUAGCACUUAAAGAACAAACCCUUUUCUGUCUCUUUCUUUUUUCUCCUACUAAUUCAUGUUGUCAAAACAUUUUUAAGACACUUUUCUAUGUUAGCAUUUUUCAUAAUAUCUAAGAAAAUCUUCAUUGUAAUAUAACCAAUAAUAAGUCAGCUACUAUUGCAACUAUUAAUGUAAUGAUAUUACAUUGGGUAAUCAUUUAUCACAUUUAUUAGAACCAUAAUUCCAUCAAAAUCACCUUACAACUUUCCUUACACCAUCUAAACAUGUACUUAAGGUACUUUGCAUAUCAAUUGAAGUACAAAUUUCACAUUUAAGAAGAGAACAUCAAGGCCCCAAAUUUCAUGAACACUAUAACAAUAUGAGGGGGAAAAAUCAGUACUAAAAUUUAAAGUUCAAGAAUAUUUAGCUACAUACUUCCUCUUAGAAUUGAAAAUUUUAGGAAAUUUAUUAGAAUAUUUGUUACAAGAGCAAUUGAAGCAGGUCAACAAGAUGGCCGCAAAAUCAAACAAACCAGUAACACUAAUUACAGAACAAAAAAGCACAAAUCAAACACUUAGCAAAUUAACUCAUCAGCACAGACGACAUAGAAAGUGCAAAUUCCAAAAAAAAAA